rnacentral:lncRNA from 1 species
CCACCUAAAGUGAUCUGUACGACAAGACUAGGUGUAAAAUAAAUAUGCUCUAGUGCUACGAUCACGUGAAGGCUGUGCGAAUAAUCGCGAGUCACCUACGAGUCAGAACCACCUAAAGUGGUUUGUACUACAGGCUUGUGCUCCUAACUUGGAUCCAAGGUUAGCAUAUGGUACGGGAUAUGAACAUCACGUGAAUAAUUGUGCCUUAACUCUGGGCGGGAGCACUAACACCUGGGUGCAGGUUUAUGAGCUCUCAAUACAUCACAUCAAACAUUGCGUAACUAAAACAAUCUCAUACCUUUAAUUUAUAAACUUACCUGGCAUUUACUUGUGCAUCCGCAACACCAAUCAUAAAUAUAUGCAACUACUAAUGUAUAAUAAAAUAGACAUAUACUUUGCAUGGCAUUUCAAAACAUAUAAUCAUUCAAAUUCAUUUUCUGGGAAAAAUCUCAAGUAUAUAGGUAUAUACGAAAAAACCAAAAGCCCACUCACUGAUAUGUCGAAGGGUAGUAGCCCCCGAGC